AGCGGCGCGCCUAACACAUGCAAGUCGAACGAGAAAGGGCUUCGGCCCCGGUACAGUGGCGUACGGGUGAGUAACACGUAGGUAAUCUGCCCAUGGGUGGUGGAUAACCCCUCGAAAGGGGGGCUAAUACAGCAUGAGACCACGUUUUCGAAAGGGAAUGGGGUCAAAGUCGGCAUAUGCAAGCAAGCUGACGCCUGUGGAUGAGCCUGCGGCCCAUCAGCUAGUUGGCGGUGUAACGGACCACCAAGGCAAAGACGGGUAGCUGGUCUGAGAGGAUGAUCAGCCACACUGGAACUGAGACACGGUCCAGACUCCUACGGGAGGCAGCAGUGGGGAAUUUUGCGCAAUGGACGAAAGUCUGACGCAGCGACGCCGCGUGGGUGAUGAAGGCCCUCGGGUUGUAAAGCCCUGUGGGGAGGGAAGAAUAAGGGUACGUAAAUAGCGUAUCUGAUGACGGUACCUCCUUAGCAAGCACCGGCUAACUCUGUGCCAGCAGCCGCGGUAAGACAGAGGGUGCAAACGUUGUUCGGAAUUACUGGGCGUAAAGCGCGUGUAGGCGGCUAAGCAAGUCGGGUGUGAAAGCCCUUGGCUCAACUGAGGAAGAGCACUCGAAACUGCGUAGCUUGAGUUCUGGAGAGGAUGGUGGAAUUCUCGGUGUAGAGGUGAAAUUCGUAGAUAUCGAGAGGAACACCAGUGGCGAAGGCGGCCAUCUGGACAGAAACUGACGCUGAGACGCGAAAGCGUGGGUAGCAAACAGGAUUAGAUACCCUGGUAGUCCACGCCGUAAA
rnacentral:rRNA from 1 species